rnacentral:rRNA from 1 species
GGUGAGGACAGUGGCGGACGGGUGAGUAACGCGUGAGGAACCUGCCUUUCAGAGGGGGACAACAGUUGGAAACGACUGCUAAUACCGCAUGACACAUAGAGAUCGCAUGGUUUUUAUGUCAAAGAUUUAUCGCUGAAAGAUGGCCUCGCGUCUGAUUAGCUAGUUGGUGAGGUAACGGCCCACCAAGGCGACGAUCAGUAGCCGGACUGAGAGGUUGACCGGCCACAUUGGGACUGAGAUACGGCCCAGACUCCUACGGGAGGCAGCAGUGGGGAAUAUUGGGCAAUGGGCGCAAGCCUGACCCAGCAACGCCGCGUGAAGGAAGAAGGCUUUCGGGUUGUAAACUUCUUUUGUCGGGGACGAGUAGAAGACGGUACCUGGCGAAUAAGCCACGGCUAACUACGUGCCAGCAGCCGCGGUAAUACGUAGGUGGCAAGCGUUGUCCGGAUUUACUGGGUGUAAAGGGCGUGUAGCCGGGAAGGCAAGUCAGAUGUGAAAUCCACGGGCUUAACUCGUGAACUGCAUUUGAAACUACUUUUCUUGAGUAUCGGAGAGGCAAUCGGAAUUCCUAGUGUAGCGGUGAAAUGCGUAGAUAUUAGGAGGAACACCAGUGGCGAAGGCGGAUUGCUGGACGACAACUGACGGUGAGGCGCGA